UACGUAGGGUGCGAGCGUUAAUCGGAAUUACUGGGCGUAAAGCGUGCGCAGGCGGUUCUCCAAGUCCGUUGUGAAAGCCCCGGGCUCAACCUGGGAAUGGCAGUGGAAACUAGGGGACUUGAAUCUGGCAGAGGGGGGUGGAAUUCCACGUGUAGCAGUGAAAUGCGUAGAGAUGUGGAGGAACACCGAUGGCGAAGGCAGCCCCCCUGGGCUGAGAUUGACGCUCAGGCACGAAAGCGUGGGGAGCGAACAGG
rnacentral:rRNA from 1 species